UGUCUUUUAGAGUUGUGUUCUGAAAAGAGAGAAAAGAAAAGGGACAAGAUGAAAAAAAAAAGAAAAAAAAAUACAGAAAAAUGAGAAAAAAAUAAAAAAUUUUGUGAAUAAUGGAGUCAAGAAGAGGAUUGAAUUAGAGGGUUUUGGGUGUGCGUAUACUGUGUUUUCACUUGUUCCCCAUUGCUCGUCUAUUUCCCUUUGGUUUGUAACUUCUCAUCCAUAUCAUAUCCUCCCUUAUCCUUGGCCCCAUU
rnacentral:lncRNA from 1 species